GGGCCCGCACAAGCGGUGGAGCAUGUGGUUUAAUUCGAUGAUACGCGAGGAACCUUACCAGGGCUUAAAUGUAAGUUGCAUUAGUUAGAGAUAGCUAUUUCUUCGGACUACUUACAAGGUGCUGCAUGGUUGUCGUCAGCUCGUGCCGUGAGGUGUCAGGUUAAGUCCUAUAACGAGCGCAACCCCUGUUGUUAGUUGCCAUCGAGUCAUGUCGGGAACUCUAACAAGACUGCCGGUGCAAACCGUGAGGAAGGUGGGGAUGACGUCAAAUCAUCACGGCCCUUACGUCCUGGGCUACACACGUGCUACAAUGGCCGGUACAGAGAGCAGCCACUACGCGAGUAGGCGCGAAUCUUCAAAGCCGGUCUCAGUUCGGAUCGGAGUCUGCAACUCGAGUGCAUGAAGUUGGAAUC
rnacentral:rRNA from 1 species